rnacentral:rRNA from 1 species
GGGACGGGUGAGUAACACGUGGAUAACCUACCUAUAAGACUGGGAUAACUUCGGGAAACCGGAGCUAAUACCGGAUAAUAUAUUGAACCGCAUGGUUCAAUAGUGAAAGACGGUUUUGCUGCCACUUAUAGAUGGAUCCGCGCCGCAUUAGCUAGUUGGUAAGGUAACGGCUUACCAAGGCAACGAUGCGUAGCCGACCUGAGAGGGUGAUCGGCCACACUGGAACUGAGACACGGUCCAG